rnacentral:rRNA from 1 species
UAUUGCACAAUGGGCGAAAGCCUGAUGCAGCAACGCCGCGUGAGCGAUGAAGGCCUUCGGGUUGUAAAGCUCUGUCUUCGCUGACGAUAAUGACGGUAAGCGAGGAGGAAGCCACGGCUAACUACGUGCCAGCAGCCGCGGUAAUACGUAGGUGGCAAGCGUUGUCCGGAAUUACUGGGCGUAAAGAAUGCGUAGGCGGUCUUUUAAGUGGGAUGUGAAAUCCCUGGGCUCAACCCAGGAACUGCAUUCCAAACUGGAAGACUAGAGUGCGGGAGAGGAAAUUGGUAUUCCCAGUGUAGCGGUGAAAUGCGUAGAGAUUGGGAGGAACACCAGUAGCGAAGGCGAAUUUCUGGAACGUAACUGACGCUGAGGCAUGAAAGCGUGGGGAGCAAACAG